rnacentral:rRNA from 1 species
ACGCUCGACACCUACGGGAGGCGGCAGUGGGGAAUAUUGCACAAUGGGGGAAACCCUGAUGCAGCGACGCCGCGUGAGUGAAGAAGUAAUUCGUUAUGUAAAGCUCUAUCAGCAGGGAAGAAAGUGACGGUACCUGAGUAAGAAGCCCCGGCUAACUACGCGCCAGCAGCCGCGGUAAUCUGAGCGGGCUGGCAAGGC